rnacentral:rRNA from 1 species
CAGCAGCCGCGGUAAUACGUAGGUCCCGAGCGUUGUCCGGAUUUAUUGGGCUUAAAGGGUGCGCAGGCGGGGGGGUCAGUCCGCGGUGAAAGACGAUCGCUCAACGAUUGCAGUGCCGUGGAUACUGCCCUUCUUGAAUCUGGUUGAGGCCGGUGGAAUUGACCGUGUAGCGGUGAAAUGCAUAGAUACGGUCAAGAACUCCAAUUGCGAAGGCAGCCGGCUGGGCCAGCAUUGACGCUCAGGCACGAGAGUGCGGGGAUCAAACAGGAUUAGAUACCCGAGUAGUCCCUGUCUCUUAUAC